CAAAAAUUAAAUCUAUGAGACACAAAAGAUACUCUCACGCACAAACCCGCUAAACCAAAAACCCCAAUAGCCCUAAACCCGCAAAAAAUAUAGCACUCACCCAAAUUUGUGACCCUAUCUUCAGCCUUUCCUGCAAAUUGGCAAUGACGUCUGCUCCCCCGAAGAUGACAAGUCAUGUGGAGAAUUGCAUCAGAUGUUAGUUCCUUCUCCCUUUAAAAAGUCUUGGAAAAACAAAGAGAAAGUUGUUCAUCUCAACUCAUACUACAUAAAAUUUUGCCCCUUUCCAGAGGAUAGGGUUUACGAAAAGUUUGGUCUAUUCAUCAUGCCUUGUCUUCCAGCAGAGGCUGAGAAACUGGAACUUGAUCUUCAUCUUGCUCAUGGUAGAUUUGUUAUAUCAACAUUUGUUCCAUUUGGAGUUGUAGAAUUCGAAGAUUAAGAUGGGUGAACAUUAUUAAGAGAUGUUCCUUAAAAUUAUUUUUGACCGAUCAGAAUUUGUGUCUGAUCGUGUAACCCUAGGUGAAGGCAAUUCAAGAGGUUGUCUGCUAUGGAAUUAUCAGAUUUUGGCUGAUUUCUUAUUAUGAGUUGUGGAGUCAUUCUUCUACAGUAGGCAGGUCUUCUGAUUCUCUACUCCUAUGAUCGUAUGUUAUAUCAUUAUUUUUUUGUGUUGAUAAGGUAUAAUGCUAUAUACUGAAUUUGUUUUAUUCAUCCUGAAAAUCAUGCUGCCUCAAAUAUCAUCUUAAUAUAUCAUAUGAUUCCGUGGUCAAGGAACAAUCAAAUUAUAUGUGGUCUUCAAUGUUUUAGAGAUUUUUUAUUAAUUAUGUUAAAGUUUCAAUGGGGAUGUACCGCAAACGUUCUUUCAUUCAGCUCAAGGACUUGCAAGUUGUCCACCGGCAAGUACGAGAUUCUGGAUAUGGAGAUAUAUGGCCGAUGAAACUUUAGCUAUUGCUGCUUCAAAAAUCCUUCCUCUUUGGAAUUACUUUUGUUUUCUCAGAUUUGUAGCCCCCACCCCCCCCCCAAAAAAAACACAAAAUACCAAAGAAAAGGGAAAAAUCACAGAUGUUUUGUUAACUAUCUUAUUCUUUGUAAGAAAAAGUAAGAAACAUUUAAUGGUUCCUUGAAUAGUCUUACGUGUUCAUUCUAUUAUCUUAUUAGCUCAGGCAAUCACUCUAUCGACCUGUAUAGUUGACCACAACAAUGCAUUGUUCGCUUUGCUGGUGUCAAAUGAUUUUACUGACAUACAAAGCAAUGUGUUUACUCGAUACAGCAUGGAGAAUGUACACAGUUUGGUUUAGUUUGAGGCCAUCAGAGUGCUCCACUGAAUUUGCAGAAAGGGUGAGAGAUAGUCUCAAAACGUGCUGCCUUAAAAAUGGUGCAUGGGAUGGAUAUCUAAAGUACAAAUUAAAAUGUUAGGAGAGUUUGGUUCUCUCAUGAUCCAUUGUUAUACUUUAGCUGGUUAUUUAUGUAUUGAAACUAGUCUUGGCAGUCUGUGUGAUACUUCUUAAUGUGAAGCAAUAUCUGCUUGCCUUUGCUGAAUACUGUCUAUCUUCUCUUUGGUUUAAUUAAUUGACAUAUUGGACCAUACCAAUUGCCUUCAAAGAAAAGUUAGUUUCAAACCCCUUAAUUUUGCCACUUUCCAUAUGCCAGAUAUACACAGCAGCAACAUACAAGAAGUGCUUUUUGUUCUUAUAAAAUGAAAAAAUUUCUACUUUCAGUAUGCUUAUUAUAGGCGCAAUCAAAAUCCACAAGUGGGUUCAUAAGAAGUCGGCGUUUUUGUGCUUCGUGCAUCUAGUGUGGAUGUGAUAGUAAUGCUUACCAUGGAAGUUGGCAUUGAAGAAGAUUUAUUUAACUGAUAGUGAUCAUGGUCUUGACUUUAGUUUUUGAUAGUUAGGUAUUGAAUUUCAGUAAACAAAGCUUAAGGUACAAGGAGGCAAUACGAUAUCCUUAGUGGAGAGAGUUGGUUUAUUACAUGCAAAUUUGAAAGUUAUCACGAAUAAGAGAGAAACCAAGAAUCUUACACAUCAAGUAAUCCUAAAUGGGGGGAAUUGGAAAUUUUGUCCUUUGAAAUCAAGUUGGUUGUUUUCAAAUCUAUCAGGUAGAAAUUCUUCAAGAUUUUCCCAUAACUCAGGGUCCCUUUGGAUUCCACAUACAUUAAAAAAUGCAUGAUUUUAUCUAAUUUUCUGUAAAAUAACAUAUAACUUAUUCUAAAUGAUGUGUCAAUUUUUAAUUGGAUAUUAUCUUAAUCUAAUAACUAACUAUAUUUGUGACUUGAGUUACUUCAAUUUAAUUAGACUUAAUUUUUAAAAACCCAAUUUUUUUUAACAAAAAUGAUAUUUGCACAUCAAAAAUAGCCAUUAAAAUUAGGUAGUAUAUAUUUGUGUACGAAGACAUAUAUAGUUUAACUCUAUUCUACCUUAGUAGUUGAUUUUGGUGUAUAGCUCAAAUGGAAUAAUUUUUUUAUACUCACCUAGAAGUUACAAGUUUAAGUUUCACUUCUAAUUUGUACAAAAAAAAAACCUUGUUUUUCUAAUUACCAACUUUUGUGUGUUGAUUGUAUUAAAAAAAAUCUGAUAGUAAGCAUCAUCAACAUGAAAGAUGUGGUUAUGUGUAUAAACAAGUUCGAAAGUAUUUAGGGCAAGUUAAAGUAUAACAAGAUAUAAAUAGUUAAGA